rnacentral:lncRNA from 1 species
CCCUGGAUCCCACAGAGGGGCAGGGUUGUGAACGCACAUCCCAAUCUGUGGACCCGUUUAUUCAGCCUGCAGACUUUGGUCCCUCUGAACCUCCAUUGAGUGUCCCACAGCCCUUCCUCCCUGUCUUUACUAUGACCUUACUUUCCCCUGGCCCUGCCCCAGCACCUGUUCCCACUGCAUUGCCCUUAGUUUCUCCGCCUGCCCCUACCCUCAACCCCCCGACUCCACCAGCUUUCCUGCAGACACAGACGUUUGCUGGAGUCAGCACAUCAAGCCCUGUCAUUACCCACACAGCCUCUGCAACCCUUACCCAUGAUGCUUCUGCCACCACCUUCAGCCAGAGCCAGGGCCUUGUUAUCACAGCGCACCAUCCAACCCCAUCCCCAUCCCCCUGUGGUCUGGCACUGUCACCUAUACCCCAGCCACCAGCUGUGGGACCUCCCCAACCUCAUUUAACUUUUAUACACCCCAAACCUGUGUCCUUGACUGGAGUGAGACACAAGCAGCCCCCCAAAAUAGUGCCUGCUCCCAAACCUGAGGCUGUCUCCUUGGUGUUGAAGAGUGCCUGCAUUGCUCCAGCUGCCUUUACAGGCCAACCACAAAAGGUGAUCAUGACAUCAGCUCCUCUGAAGAGAGAAGGGAUUCUGGCAUCUACUGUGUCCCCAUCCAGUGUGGUCAUUGCCUCUGCUGCCAUCACCAGGCUUCUGGAGUCACGGAGUUCCUCAGCCACAGCACGAGCAGCCAGCCUAGCCCUGCCUCUCGGCUCUUCU